UCUGAUGCCAAGAACAACAUAGAGUGAAGAAAAUCCAAAUCAAGAGUGAAGAAAAAAAAAACCCUACAAAAUAAAAGCUCGGAAUCCAGGAUAAAUCAAAUGGAAUCACAGAACAUGACACCGUGUUCAUAUAAAAAAUGCUGGCAAAAAAAACAGAGAAAACAUCCAGCUGCAAACUCGUUUGUGCCCAGAAAAAUUAAGCAGGAGAAUCAUAAAGCUGGACGAGGCUGACAAGAAAAAUAUCAACUGCCUCAUCCACGAGGAAAUAAGAUUUGUCAGCUCAGAGUGUGCACGCAGGAAGCCAGGGGAAGUGUGCUGACUGUCCUCUGACAGACUCUGCUGAGCACUCAGAGAUUACAGCUGGCUGUUUAUGACUGAAUCACAGACACCUCAGAGCGAGCAGGCACACCAACACAACUGCAGCAACGAGAUACGCGUUCGACGUGAGCAGUGGACACAAAAACGGACCUAUUCAGUCCGACACAGUUAGGGAGAAAAGUCAUUUAUUUUGUUUACCCCAUGUAUGUAUCAUUGGCACAACAUAUGUACUGUUACUGAGAUGGUCUGGAUUACUGUACCACCUACUGUAGAUAAAUGAUGCUGUAUCUCAUCUAACUGGACUGACGAGAAAGCUGAUACCUUCAUCAUCAUAAUGUAUAAAAUGACAGAGCUGUUGUCCAUGUCA